rnacentral:snoRNA from 1 species
GGUCUGAUGCCACAUCGCUAGUAGCUACAAGCCUACAAGCUUUGACUAGAGAUGCUAUGACAAGCUUUGACUAGAGAUGCUAUGACUAAUACAAAGUUGUUUUACAUGUUGAUAGGAACAUGGGCAUGGCUUCUACGUCUGUCCAUGGAGCCAGUUUCAGUGAUCAUAUUC